AUGGGCUACAUCGCGCACGACGCGCUUCCGUGUAUGCAGACACUAGGAGCUGCCAAUGAUGUCUACGAAUUUGUCAAGUCCAUUGGGAGGUUCAAGGAGACCAAGCGCACGGAUGGCAUCUCGACAUCGGACAUCAUCAAGAGGAUCUUGAAGGACUACAACCAGUACAUCAUGCGGAAUCUCACCUGGGGUUACUCCCGAAAAGACCUCGGUGUGAGCUAUGUCAAGGAGAAGCAAUUGAGAGUGAACAUGGGCAUUACCAAGCUAAAAGAGAAGGUCAAGGAGCAUCAAGAGAAGUUUCACAGCGCCGCAAAGAUAGCUGGAAGCAAUCCUGUGGAGUGUAUGGAGAAUACUGACCGUUGGAUCGUCGGGUUUCUUGAGAAGUUUGAGGAAGGUUGCCACAUGAUGGAAACUGCGAUUAAAGAUCGAAUUCAGGAGGGGCUCAACCGGCAAGCCAAGUCGGAGUCAAACCUUUCUGGAUCAGACUCAGAUUCACGAAGAUGUUUUGCAUUCCUGUAG
rnacentral:rRNA from 1 species